UGAAAUACAUUUUUCAAAAAAUAAAAAGUUGAAUAAAACAUAAUAUAGUAAUAAAAAUGAACAUUAACAUUUUUCAUAUACAUACAGAAGUCAUAAUGUUAGCGGAAGUGGUGUUUCAAAAUAUCUUGAAUUCUUGUGUGGAAUUAAUUAGAAAUAAUCCUAAUUUGUCAUUCUGUUUUACAUUUUAAUAUGACGUGAUUAGAAGAUAAUUUCGUUUUAAAUUAUUCCAGUAUGGAGAAUUAUCGGCCAGAACAUUGUAGACAAAAUAUUUAAAGCAGCAAUAUAACAUACAUGAAAAUGGCUUUUUGUAUAUACCUUUUCUCACUAUGAGAAUUCACAGUGAAAUAUAAGAAUGUGUGGUUUUUCUGUCACGUCACGUGACUGGAGAAGACUGUUGACGUCAUCUUUUGUGUACAAGUUGACAGCGCCUCGGAUGUGUCCGCCAUCAAAUUCGUACGGGUACCUGCAAUCUACGAUUGUGACUUUCCCAAUCUUGUCACUGUAAUUACCGUUCAACACUUUUGCCAUUGUUUCCGGUGUGAUGGAUUUGAGGUCGCCAUGUUUUCCUUGUACUGAAGGUAGAAUGUAGUCACGUGAUCCAUCGGCUACCAAAUAACGAGAUUCGAGACGUUCUACUGCCGUAAUGACAUUCUGAAAAUGCAAUAACAGUGAAUAUUAAGAAUAAAAUGUCAACGUGAGAAAGUACAAGUACUUGUACAACUUUGAAAAUAUUUUAAAUGUUACUUCAAGAAUGAAACAAUACAUGUAGAUUCUAAUUCUAUAACUAAUAUUUCACCAUACAUACCUGAGUAGUUAAUGUAGCUAAAUCAUUCUCUAUUUGACGCAUCUUUUUCGAGCAUGGAGUAUCGUUAGAAAGAUCAUCUUCAGCUAGACGCUUGACUGCGAACAAGCUUCUGCGUGCAUCGGCUCUAGUCUCAGAAGUCACCUUUGACGAUGUAUCAAACUGAAAUGAAAGAGAAAAAAGUUAAUAUCAAAUAUUAUAUUCUUAUAUUUUAGUAUAUUUGAAUAGCAUAAAGAUUAUUAAUUCAAAUAAACUAAUUUUAGAUCUUUUAAAUUUCAAAAUAAAUUCAGAUUGUAAAAAUA